rnacentral:rRNA from 1 species
UACGUAGGGUGCGAGCGUUGUCCGGAAUUAUUGGGCGUAAAGGGCUCGUAGGCGGUUUGUCGCGUCGGGAGUGAAAACUCAGGGCUUAACCCUGAGCCUGCUCCCGAUACGGGCAGACUAGAGGUAUGCAGGGGAGAACGGAAUUCCUGGUGUAGCGGUGAAAUGCGUAGAUAUCUGGAGGAACACCGGUGGCGAAGGCGGCGAUCCUGGACCGGCAAUUGACGCUGAGGCGCGAAAGCCAGGGGAGCAAA